CGUGUAGGCGGUCCGGUAAGUGAGAUGUGAAAUCCCUCGGCUCACCCGAGGACCUGCAUCUCAAACUGCCUGACUCGAGUACGGGAGAGGAUGUGGGAAUUCCUGGUGUAGCGGUGAAAUGCGUAGAUAUCAGGAGGAACACCGGUGGCGAAAGCGCACAUCUGGCCCGAUACUGACGCUGAGGCGCGAAAGCUAGGGGAGCAAACG
rnacentral:rRNA from 1 species